rnacentral:sRNA from 12 species
UUUUAUUCGCGUUAGGGAUUGUAGUGGAAAUCCCUUUUACAAAACCGAAGACUGAGUUUAGUUGAAGUCUGUUUGUAAAAGAUUGUAACAAAAAGCCCGCUCGAAC